GUUUCCGCUGUGGGAACAGGCUACAGAUAUCCCCAUCUAGUAAAGAGGGACAAGUUCGGAAGACCGAUAGGUUCUGUAAACACGCA
rnacentral:misc_RNA from 1 species